CCUAGAGCAUAGGCGAACUGUCUUGAUAAAUUCUUUUCAAAUUGGCAACCGAGCGAAACAGUCCUUUUGCAGGAAGUGAUAAAAUUAAUAGUUCAUUUUUUUUUUUUUGUGUGGUUAAAGUAACACAAGUAAAUUUUUAAUCCGAAUAAAUACAAGCCAUCCUUCAUGGUUUUGAAUCGGUGAUAAAAAGAAACCAAUUAUGUUGGUGUUCUCUAUUUCAAGAUAUACUUCUUGAAUUUGCUAAGUCUCGGUAUGUUCGUUCAUAAUGCCAAAAUAAGGAAAUUAAAAUAUAUUGCUUUGAUUAAGCAGAAGUGUCGACUAACCUUUGCCAAGGAUCAUGUUUCCCGCCCAAUUUCUUUCUGGAAUGAAAUAAUAUAUGCAGAUGGAUCCAAAUUCAAUAUCUUUGGGUCGGAUUGGAUGCAAUAUGCUCGGCGCCAACCAAAUACCGGGCUUCAUAAUUAGAACUUAAACCCCACUAUGAAGCAUGGCGGUGGAAGUGUCAUGGUUGGGGCAUGCAUGGCGGCUUCGGGAGUUGGAAUCCUGGUUUUGAUCGAAGGAACAAUGGACAGACAUAUGUAUCCAUCAGUUUUAAAGGAGAAUUUACUUUAGAGUGGAGAGAAAUUAGGUCUAGAGGGCCGAUUCCGAUUUUAUUAAGACAAUGACCUUAAACACAAAUCCGGCAUUGUGAAGUCCUGGUUGAGCUGGGAUUGCCCACAUGUGGUCAGUCCUCCUUUCCAGUUUCCUGACCUUAAUGUGAUUGAAAAUUUGUGGGCAAAAUUUGACAUGACCAUCCGGAAAAGGUCAAUUUCCAACAAAAAUGACCUUAAAAAUGCCCCACUGGAAGAAUGGGUAAAAAUAUCACCUGAAGUCACUAAAAAAUUGGUUUCCUCAAUGGAAACACGCAUUAAAGAGGUCAUUAAACAAAAUGGGGGACACACCAAAUACUAGUUUAAUUUGUUUAGAAUAAAUUUUUAGGGUUAAAUGCAUUGCACGAAAUAAGCUGUGACAUAGAAAAAGGCAAUGAUGUUCAUUUUUUUAAUUUUU